GUGGAAAUGAUCCUGUGUCAUGGUUCCAAAAGCAAAUCCGAGGGAACAUGUUGGUUUUGAGUGAUCACAUAUCAAAAGAAAAGAAUGAGUUGAACUACAUCCGAUGCCAAAGAAUUCCAAAGUGCCCAGGUGCUGAUUGGCAUGACCUACCAGAAGAAAAGGUUAAACUGUCUACUAGUCAAAUGGUGGAUUUGAUACCUCGGUGCUUGCCAAACACUGCCAAUAGGCACAAUCAGUAGAAGGGACUGUUUGGCCCUGAUGUACCAAGUAUGCAUUAUGAUUGUUAGUUGUCACAACUUACCUGGAUUGACAGGAGAGCAUUGUGAAGCUAGGCUACUGAUGCCAACUGCAGCAGAAGCAUUUCUACAAAGCUUUGGAGCAUUAUUAGGAUAUUCAGAUCUCCUGCAACAACAUGGAAAAGAAACGAAUCAAAGAAAGGAAGCUAUAGGUCCCCAGAUGCAUCACAAGUGAGGAGUAAGAUGCUAUAUGCAAGCUUCAAGGACAGGUUAAAGAGAGAGCUAAAUGAAUUUCAAGUGGAAUUGAAAGCUAUAGACCCCAUCAAGAUGAGCAUUGAUAUCAUCAAGGGCUGGGCUCUUCACCCUUCAUCAAUUUUUUUUUUUCUUU